rnacentral:rRNA from 1 species
CCUACGGGAGGCAGCAGUGAGGAAUAUUGGUCAAUGGCCGGAAGGCUGAACCAGCCAAGCCGCGUGAAGGACGAAGGUGCCAAGCAUUGUAAACUUCUUUUGUCAGGGGACAAAAUCAGGCUCGAGAGCCUGACCGAGGGUACUUGAAGAAAAAGCAUAGGCUAACUCCGGGCCAGCAGCCGCGGUAAUACGUGGGAUGCGAGCGUUAUCCGUAUUGAUUGGGUUUAAAGGGUGCGUAGGCGGACUGUUAAGUCAGCGGUAAAAGCCCGGGGCUCAACCCCGGCUAGCCUUUGAAACUGGCUGUCUUGAGAUGUCGAGAGGUAUGCGGAAUGCGCAGUGUAGCGGUGAAAUGCUUAGAUAUUGCGCAGAACUCCGAUGGCGAAGGCAGCAUACCGGCGGCGAUCUGACGCUGAGGCACGAAAGCGUGGGUAUCGAACAGGAUUAGAUACCCUUGUAGUC